AUGGACGCGGGGUGUACCGGCAAGCUGUUCAUCAGAACCAUGGGGUAUGGGCGCUACUCCUUACAUCUGGACACGGCCAAGAUCGAGCGCCUGCACACCAAGCAUGGCAAGGAGUACGGCCACCCGAUGUGCGCCUACUUCCUCGCGUGGCCGCCUGCCUUCCUCGCUCCAGAGAACUGA
rnacentral:rRNA from 1 species